GACUGAAAUGAACAUUCUCAAAUAUUGAUCUCCUCUUUCUGGGCUAGACUUUGUCCAACCAGCUAUUGCCUCAUCCUGACCAACAUGGCUUCCCCGUGUGCAGCUCUGAUUUCCGUAGACCAUGGUCUGGUCAACCUAAGUUCUUAUUUAGUCAUAAACCAGAGAACAAAGCCCCUCUACAUCUUCUAGGCAAUGGAAAGUUUGUUUCCUCUCUUUCAAGACAGGGUCUUCGGUAGCCUUGGUUGGCCCGGAAUUUGGAUUAAUAGCAAUGGAUGACCUUGAAUUUCUGAUCCUUCUGCCAUUCCCUCCCCACUACUGGGAUUUACAGCCUCAUGAGGAGCUGAUCCAACAGGCUGUACCUGUGGCCAACAAGACAAAGCUUCUUGAGGUGACACUGCUUUUGUGUCUAUAGGGGAAGGACAGAAGAAAAAGAGAAGCCUCUCUUUUUAAAAUUACAUUUAUUGGGCCAGGCAUGGUGGUAUACCCAGCCUUUUCCUCUCCUGUGGUAAUCCUCUGCUUCCCUGCUCAGCUCAGGAUAUGAUUUAACUCUAACUCUUAAAAGUUCUUCCAAAAACGCAACAGAUGGCUGGCUGGUGAACUGAGUGACAAGUGACAUCAACACCAGCAACUUUUAAUUUACAUGUUUUUAUGGAACACAAAUCAAGAUGUCUGCCAUCUUGAGAGCAGUGCAUCCCAACUCUGCCUCGACUGCAGGAAUGGGCUCUCAACCACUGGAAAGAAAAUGAAGGAAAUCCAGUGCUUUCUGAGGGCAGUGUGAUCGCCCCAUGUGCAGUCAUGAAGCUCUCUGUGCGGCGGGGACCCACCUCAGACAGCCAGAGGCGUGCAGGCUGCCCUGCGUAUUUCAUUCACUCCCCGUCUCCUACGGGACGGUUCCUAGAAGAGGAUUACAUUUCCAGAGUCCAGCUGGAUUUCACAUCAGAGACGAUAAAGCUGGGGCAGGACGACGCAGAGUCCACCCAGCACUGCUGCCCUGGGGGUUCCUGGGCCUUCGACGUAGGGACGAUCGCUUCGGUGCAAACACGGCAGCUCCUAGGCCUUCCAACUGCAUCUGUCUCCAGCGCGAGGCAUCUGGCCUCAGUCGUCAUCAUCAUCCUCGAUUUGAAACCGUUUCUUCUUGUGGAUUACUGGAGUUCCCAGCUCUGGUGCUGUGGGGAUGGCAGGUCAGAGACAAAAAGAGAAAACAUCUCAGUCUGUAAAAGAAGAAGGCAGAGCAGAAGGAAAAGCAGGCCCCAGAGUCCCUACCUUGCCCCCUCCCCUCAUCCUCCUCUUCGUCAUCACUGUCCAGCAGUUCCCGCUUCUUGGGCAUUAUUUUCCGUUCUUUCUCCCCAGUGAUCUCUUCCUCUGAAGUGACUGUAAGACACAAAAUUAAGGAACUAGAUCUGCAUCAUCUCAAAACACCUCGCCAGCCCUCACACCCUCAUGAGCGGCACAGAGUUAGUCAUCAAGGGGUAAGCGGUGACACUUUACCUUCUGGGGACACCAGGCCUGCCUUCUUCUUACGGGCUGACAAGAGGGCUCUCAGGGCUCUGGCUCGGUGCUCCUCACUGGGACUCUGCUCUCCGGGGACUCCUGGAUGUAGCUCUGGCUCCUCUUCUCUCUCUCCCUCGUCUUGUUGAUUCAAAGAAGCUGCCACUCUCCGAAGCUGGGUGGGGCUCAACUUGGCUGGAAUUCGCCAGAAGGUUUCCUACAGGAGUUUAGCAGGUGACGUGACUGCAGGGAGAGGACCAGCCUCUCUGGUCUACAUUUUUAGUUAUUCAUUGAAUAACUACGAGUAAACUGAGUAAUAGAACAUGAAAUAAUAAAUAUGGAGAAUGA